rnacentral:lncRNA from 1 species
UGGGGUCGCAGAGUCAGACACGACUGAGUGACUGAACUGAACUGAGGCAGGUAACACAGAUUCCAUUCUAAACUUUGUUUCUCCUCCAUCACCCAAACAUUUCUGUGGGAUUGUGAUACAACACAUUCACAAUCUGAAAUGCCCUCCAGCCACGUUACCUCAAGGGACAGGUAGGGCGGCCGUGUAAAGUGCAGAGAAGUCCCCCCGGAAGCCCCUCCCACAGCAGACGGCCAGCAGUAAUUUAACUACAACACCAAAGUGAAUGGAAGCCUCAUAAAUACAACUCAGUGAACCCAGACUAAACACAUCCUGAACUUAUCUUCCCCUUAGCUGGGUCCCCACAAAUCCUCUCACCUUCUCUAAGGCCACUCAAUGCAGCAGAAAUCUAUAGCCAAGGAAAUCAGAGCAGAGAGACAGACAGCUUAACAAUCACGGUUAAAGGAUCUGACUUUUGUAAUUUUACCAAACAUAUCGCCUCAUGGAUGUAAUGCUACGGUUCCCACCCUCAGAUCCUUGGAAAGGGUUAUACAAGUUUCACUGGGACCUAAAACUUCUUUUGCUUCCUGGUAAUCCCCUCUGAGUCAACCUCCAGCAUGAAGCACCACAUUUCCCCUGAGAUAUCUCAAGGGGAACCAGAGUGCUUUCCGGCACCGCCAACCAGAAUGCUUUCCAGCGGACCCACUCUCCACUCUCGAGGAUAUCCUUGGGGCAGAGAAGUGAUGUCAGGGCCACGGAAGGAAAGAGCUGACAUUAUCUAAUUGCUAAAGUGAUGCAUCCAUUGAGAACACUGAAAACAAUGGAGGAAGAGUUGGAAAUGAGGCUGGAGCAGUGGUCCGGGCUCAGAUUACACAUAGCUAUGAGAAAACCAAGGUUCAGAAGGAUUAGGCUAGUUACUCAGGUAGAGUGCCAACAGNNNNNCCUGGAUGUGACUGGAAUCACUGCUCCCGUCAAGAAUAUCUCACAGGGCAAGUGUGGGGCCUCAACUGGGAUAUCUCCUUUCUGCACAAAGAAGGUUAUGGCUGUUUCAGAAGCUAACCAACUUCCAUCAGAUGAGAUCCAGAUGGGAUUUCUGCUCAGCUAUGGAGUGAGAGUUGGUUCUGAGUGGUUUUUCUGCAGGAAACCCACUGCAGAGUGACGCAAGGAUCACAGCAAGGGUGGGAAGGUCUGAUCUAGGAAAGCAACUCCAGCCCUGGUUAAUCCCAGCUCCACAGAACCACUGAGACCCCACCACCACCGCACCACCACCCCACCACUUCAGGGUGCUCUUCCCCAUCAACCAGUUCUACCUCGGGCUUGGCUAAUAUCCUGAUUCAUCCUGCGAAGCGUGCCAAGCAAAACCCUGCUCUAAAUCAUAAAGUUCUUCCAGAAUACAAUGAGCAAAGUCCCGGAUCAGGACAGGGGUGAUGGACUUCUAAGCAAAGAGUUUGAUCCCUGACAAACACUCAUGGAUGGGCUCAUCCAUACUCUCACACACUCUCCCAUUCAGGACCUCUCUGAUGUCUUUUCUCUGCCCCAAACCUAUGUUUUUCUCUAGUCCAGUGAGGGAAGCCAAUAGGGGGUCCACCUCCCUCAUCCUACAGGACUUUGCUCAGGUAGAUACUGGCCUGCAAAGUUCCCAGGACAUCAGCAGGUCUGGGCCAGACCAGAGGGAAGGGACCGGCUCUCUGGAGUCCUCUGUUUCUUCCUGGGUUAGGCUUUGUGCCCAGGGUUUUGUUGCUGUUAUUGUUUUGGCCACACCAAGCAGCAUGCAGAAUCUUUGUUCCCCAACCAGGAUCAAACCCCAUGCCCCCUGAGGCAGAAGCAUGGCAUCCUAACCACUGGACUGCUAGGGAAAUCCCAGUGUCCGGGUUUUUACGGCCAGGGUGUCUGUCUAACCAUGAAGGACCACAGCGAGAAAUGCUCCGUGUGCUUCCAGCCCCCCACCACUCUCCAUUAGUCUUGUGAACUAAUGGGAAUUCUGGCCACAAAAUAGCCGGAUCAAAGGCUAGUUGGGACACCCAGUCUAUGGCCCAAGGUACUCUGGCUUAAAAGCCAGAUGUCCUUCCUGGACACUCCUGGCCUGUCAGCAUGGAACAUCUUGAUCACACAACCCUUGCCCCUAGUGUUGCCUGUUGNNNNNNNNNNNNNNNNNNNNNNNNNNNNNNNNNNNNNNNNNNNNNNNNNNNNNNNNNNNNNNNNNNNNNNNNNNNNNNNNNNNNNNNNNNNNNNNNNNNNNCCCUACAUUCCUCUCCCUCUCAAAUGCAGCAAGCACAGUCUCUUUCUCCUGCCGCUGUCUCCAAUGUCACUUGGGAAUCGUAACCUGGGCUAGGUACCAAUACUAAGCAUAAUUAGCUCCUGGAGGAGGAGGGGCCGGUGGCAUAGGUCAAGUCAGACCAGGAGAGGGAGGGGGCCCAGGAGGGAGGUGGGAGGCCCUGGUGCAAUUGCUCCCCA